rnacentral:rRNA from 1 species
AGUGAACGCUGGCGGUGGGCCUAGCACAUGCAAGUCGAACGGCAGCACAGUAAGAGCUUGCUCUUACGGGUGGCGAGUGGCGGACGGGUGAGGAAUACAUCGGAAUCUACUUUUUCGUGGGGGAUAACGUAGGGAAACUUACGCUAAUACCGCAUACGACCUACGGGUGAAAGCAGGGGAUCUUCGGACCUUGCGCGAUUGAAUGAGCCGAUGUCGGAUUAGCUAGUUGGCGGGGUAAAGGCCCACCAAGGCGACGAUCCGUAGCUGGUCUGAGAGGAUGAUCAGCCACACUGGAACUGAGACACGGUCCAGACUCCUACGGGAGGCAGCAGUGGGGAAUAUUGGACAAUGGGCGCAAGCCUGAUCCAGCCAUACCGCGUGGGUGAAGAAGGCCUUCGGGUUGUAAAGCCCUUUUGUUGGGAAAGAAAAGCAGCAGGUUAAUACCCCGCUGUUCUGACGGUACCCAAAGAAUAAGCACCGGCUAACCUCGUG